rnacentral:rRNA from 1 species
UACGGGGGGAGCAAACGUUGUUCGGAAUCACUGGGCGUAAAGGGCGUGUAGGCGGCUGGAUAAGUGGGAUGUUAAAUCCCCCGGCUCAACCGGGGACCUGCAUCUCAUACUGUUCAGCUCGAGCACAUCAGAGGAGACUGGAAUUCCCGGUGUAGCGGUGAAAUGCGCAGAUAUUGGGAAGAACACCAGUGGCGAAGGCGGUUCUCUGGGACGGUACUGACGCUGAGACGCGAAAGCGUGGGGAGCGAACAGG